GGGCCCGCACAAGCGGUGGAGCAUGUGGUUUAAUUCGACGCAACGCGAAGAACCUUACCUGGGCUCGAACGGCUUCAGACGGCUGUGGAAACAUGGCUUUCCCGCAAGGGACUGGAGUCGAGGUGCUGCAUGGCUGUCGUCAGCUCGUGUCGUGAGAUGUUGGGUUAAGUCCCGCAACGAGCGCAACCCUUGUCCUGUGUUGCUAAUCGCAAGAUGCACUCUCAGGAGACCGCCAGCGAUAAGUUGGAGGAAGGUGGGGAUGAUGUCAAGUCAUCAUGGCCUUUAUGUCCAGGGCUACACACGUGCUACAAUGGACGGUACAAACCGCUGCAAACCCGCGAGGGGGAGCUAAUCGGAAAAAACCGUUCUCAGUUCGGAUUGCAGGCUGCAACUCGCCUGCAUGAAGCUGGAAUCGCUAGUAAUGGUAUAUCAGAAUGAUACCGUGAAUACGUUCCCGGGCCUU
rnacentral:rRNA from 1 species